AUUCACUCCUGUUACUAAAUCGUGAUAGUCUUCGUCUUCCUGCGCGUAAUCAAAAUCACGCGAUUUCUUCACCGCCUUUAGGGAUCGAGCCUUCGAGUUUGUCCUAGAAGGUUCUUUCAAGCAGAUGCGCUAGCUCCAUGGAGGCUUGCUCGGGCGGCGCGUGUGAGUUUCAUGGUUGAUUGCGGAGGCGUGUUGGUCGCCGAUCUCUCCCAGACGAAUGCUUAGACGGCGUUCAGAAUCAAAAUCAUGAAUAACCCUAAAUCCCUAACCCCAACCCUAACACAAUUUUCCCAAUUUCACAACACUGAUGCGUGCAUUCUGCGUUUCUCUCUGCUCUGCCGAGUUCUGCUCUACUCCGCCGUGUUCUUCUGCUCCGCCAUGUUCUUCUGCUCGUGCCGUGUUAUUCUGCUAGCUCUGCUCUGUCGUGUUCUUCUACUCGCGCCUAGUUCUGCUCUGCUCCGCCGUGUUCUUCUGUUCGAGUCGAGUUCUACUCUGCUCCGCCAUGUACUUCUGCUCACGCCGAGGUUUUCUCUGCUCCGCUAUGUUCUUUUGCUCGCACCUUGUUCUUCGUUCUCUCGCGCUGAGUUCUGCUUUACUCGUCCGUAUUCUAAAUUGGGAGAAGUAGCUACUUAUGCAAAAAUAGUUUUGCUUGCCGUUUAUCUCUGAUCUCUUCCAAUUUGCCAGCGUUCUUCAGCUAGGGUUCAUCACCGCUGAUCAUUGUUCUGCAGUUCCAAGUUAAAUGAAGGAAGACCUCUUAGCUGCUCAGUCUCAUGGAACUAAUUUGCUGCAACAUGGAGAACAAUAACUUCAUCAAUAACACAGAUACUGUCUAAAAAAAUCAGGAAUUCAAAUUUGGUAUGAAAACUUUGAAGAAUAUCCCUGUGUUUAUCCUGUCAAUUCAGUAUCAACUUUACUUGCCUCACAGAUCAACUUCAGUCAAGGAACCUCUCUACUCAUUCUUUGCUGAGCUCCUAGUUUUAAGAGGUGCCACAUUGCACAAUAAUCAUAACUGCAAUUUGAAGCAUUUGUUGUGGUCAGUUUCAGCUUGUUCCUUUGUCUGCUUUGAUCCUUCCUGAUGUUACUAUGUUGUAUUAACAGAAGCCACCUGCAGAUACCUCUCUUACCAUUCUUCCCCUAAUAUCUCGUAUAUUGAUGAAAAUCACCUUGCCAUUGAAGUUUAGCGAUCAAUCCGAAAUCGCAAGAUAUUAAUUAGUUUCAGCUUGUAUUUGAUCAAUCUAGGACAUCUUUUUGAUAAAUAUUAAUUACUAUUUUGUUAUGACAAUUAUUGUUAGACAAUAAUUUUAUUAUUUUGUUGAGAAUUAUUGAUGAA